rnacentral:rRNA from 1 species
AGCUCCAAUAGCGUAUAUUUAAGUUGCUGCGGUUAAAAAGCUCGUAGUCGGAUUUCGGGUGGUUCCUGCCGGUCCGCCUCUGGUGUGUACUGGUAAGCGCCACCUUUCUGCCGAGGACGGGUUCCUGGGUUUAAGUAUCUGGGACCCGGAGUCGGCGUUGUCACUUUGAGUAAAUUAGGGUGUUUAAAGCAGGCUUAUGCUCUGAAUACACUAGCAUGGGAUGACACGAUAGGACUUCGGUCUAUCUUGUCGGUCUGUAGUUCCGGAGUAAUGAUUAAGAGGGACAGUCGGGGGCAUUCGUAUUUCGUAGUCAGAGGUGAAAUUCUUGGAUUUACGGAAGACGAACUUCUGCGAAAGCAUUUGCCAAGGAUGUUUUCA